rnacentral:sRNA from 1 species
UACCUAAUAUCGGACGUGAACUCACUAA